AGUUGUACAGAUAUCACAUUUUAUAAUUAAUGAUAAAAAGUCAUGUCAUGUACAACUGG
rnacentral:pre_miRNA from 1 species